rnacentral:miRNA from 1 species
GUCAGUAGACACAUUCCAGCCAAUCAGCAGCUGACCCUCCCUCCCAGACCCUCCCACAUCCUGGACAGCUCACUAAGAAUGCAGCUUCACAAUGAAUGUAAAAUGGAUGCUGUCCAGGAGGUGGGAGGGUCUGGGAGGGAGGGUCUGCUGCUGAUUGGCUGGAAUGUGUCUGCUG